rnacentral:ncRNA from 1 species
AAAGGGGUUUCUUACCCUAGGUUAUCAUAUAGUGAGUAUAAACAUGCAAAGUUAAGUGGGAAAAAAAGGUGUUUUAGAUAAAGCGAGGUUUAAAAAUUGCAGUUUAGAAUUUUAUUAUUUUAAGAGAUUAAGAAGUAGCUAGAAUGAGGGAGUAUAGACAAAGUUUGUGCCAGCAGUAGCGGUUACACAAACUAUACAAUGAUAAGUUUUUAGAGUUAAAGAAAGUAAAAUAAAAAAGGUAAAGAAAAAAAUUUAUUAGGUGAAAUUUUAAGUUUUUAGUUGACUUUUAAAAAUUAAUUGAGUUUGAGAAAAUUUUAGGAUAGACUAGGAUUAGAUACCCUAUUAUAAGAGAAGUAAAGAUUAAUCUAAAUUAGUAGAAGUUAAAUUAUUGAAAAUUAAAGAAGUUGGCGGUUUUUUAGUCUAUUCAGAGGAACCUGUUCUGUGAUUGAUGAUCCACGAAUUGUUUAACUUGUUUUUUAAGCUUGCAUAUCGCCGUAGGUGGAAUAUUUUAUGAGAAGGAAAUAUUCAAUAUUUUUAGUGAAAUAGAAAUCAGGUCAAGAUGCAGCUAAUAAAUAAGAGGAAAUGGGUUACAAUAAAUUAAUUUAUACGGAAAGGAAAUUUAAAAAUUCUGUUGAAGGCGGAUUUGAAAGUAAUUUUAAUUAAAUUAUUAAAAUGAUUAGAGCUCUAAGAUAUGCACAUAUCGCCCGUCGCUUUCAUUAUAAAAUGAAAUAAGUCGUAACAAAGUAGAUGUACUGGAAAGUGUCUCUAGAAAGAC